rnacentral:rRNA from 1 species
GACGAACGCUGGCGGCGUGCCUAAUACAUGCAAGUUGAGCGAUGAAGAUUGGUGCUUGCCCCAAUUUGAAGAGCAGCGAACGGGUGAGUAACGCGUGGGGAAUCUGCCUUUGAGCGGGGGACAACAUUUGGAAACGAAUGCUAAUACCGCAUAACAACUUUAAACAUAAGUUUUAAGUUUGAAAGAUGCAAUUGCAUCACUCAAAGAUGAUCCCGCGUUGUAUUAGCUAGUUGGUGAGGUAAAGGCUCACCAAGGCGAUGAUACAUAGCCGACCUGAGAGGGUGAUCGGCCACAUUGGGACUGAGACACGGCCCAAACUCCUACGGGAGGCAGCAGUAGGGAAUCUUCGGCAAUGGACGAAAGUCUGACCGAGCAACGCCGCGUGAGUGAAGAAGGUUUUCGGAUCGUAAAACUCUGUUGGUAGAGAAGAACGUGGGUGAGAGUGGAAAGCUCAUCAAGUGACGGUAACUACCCAGAAAGGGACGGCUAACUACGU